AACCCAAAUUUGUCGUAGCGGGCUCAAAUUUAAAGCUAGAGUGAAGUACUGGUAUCAUAUGAAACUAGAAAACCUAAGGAAUCCAUUGGUACCAAACAUGUCAUACUAGCUCGGCGUGUAGGAGGCUAUAUAACGCUCCAACCUUGAGCUUUGACCUGCAGAG